AUUGAACGCUGGCGGCAGGCCUAACACAUGCAAGUCGAACGGUAACAGGAAGAAGCUUGCUUCUUUGCUGACGAGUGGCGGACGGGUGAGUAAUGUCUGGGAAACUGCCUGAUGGAGGGGGAUAACUACUGGAAACGGUAGCUAAUACCGCAUAACGUCGCAAGACCAAAGAGGGGGACCUUCGGGCCUCUUGCCAUCGGAUGUGCCCAGAUGGGAUUAGCUAGUAGGUGGGGUAACGGCUCACCUAGGCGACGAUCCCUAGCUGGUCUGAGAGGAUGACCAGCCACACUGGAACUGAGACACGGUCCAGACUCCUACGGGAGGCAGCAGUGGGGAAUAUUGCACAAUGGGCGCAAGCCUGAUCCAGCCAUGCCGCGUGUAUGAAGAAGGCCUUCGGGUUGUAAAGUACUUUCAGCGGGGAGGAAGGGAGUAAAGUUAAUACCUUUGCUCAUUGACGUUACCCGCAGAAGAAGCACCGGCUAACUCCGUG
rnacentral:rRNA from 1 species